GCCCCUGUCUUUGGGGAGUAGCCGGCUUCUACCCAGAAGCGCCUGCGUCAACAUUCUCGGUCGCACAGACCGUGGUGCAGGUAGCCAUUUGGUUGGCAAGACCAUCGACACACCACGCGACCGGUCGGGCGCGGCGGUGUGUCGCGGUUUUCCGCCCGACCUUGAGCCU
rnacentral:sRNA from 2 species